rnacentral:misc_RNA from 1 species
UCAAACUUGGUCAUUUAGAGGAAGUAAAAGUCGUAACAAGGUUUCCGUAGGUGAACCUGCGGAAGGAUCAUUACACAAAAGGAUACCCUCACCGGUAUACCCCACCCGUAUCUAUUUACUCUUGUUGCUUUGGCAGGCCGUGGUCUCCCACUGCGGGCUCUGCCUGCAAGUGCCUGCCAGAGGACCAAACUCUGAAUUUUAGUGAUGUCUGAGUACUAUAUAAUAGUUAAAACUUUCAACAACGGAUCUCUUGGUUCUGGCAUCGAUGAAGAACGCAGC